AUGGUUUUGGUGGCGUACGGUCGUUGGGUCCAUGGAAUGAUGGAGUCAAUGACUAGUAUUGCUCCAAGUGUCGGGUCAACUAAUGAUAUGGGACUUGAAGAUGAUGCCAACAAUUUUUCCAUGGUCCAAACGAGAUUCAGCAUACAUGAUGAAGAUCGUUACAGCACACCGAAAAGAACCAGUAGCCUACCCGUGUGUGGGUCAACUUACGAGCCAGAGUGUGAUGACAGCCUACAACCCUCAAUUGGAAUGCGAUUUGAUAGCUGGGAGGCAGGUUUGGCAUUCUGUAGAAUGUAUGCUCAUGAGGUUGGCUUCUCUGUACGCAUAUGGACACAACACAAAGGAGAGGGUGUGUAA
rnacentral:rRNA from 1 species